UACGUAGGGGGCAAGCGUUGUCCGGAUUUAUUGGGCGUAAAGAGCGUGUAGGCGGCCAAGCAGGUCCGCUGUGAAAACUCGAGGCUCAACCUCGAGAGGUCGGUGGAAACCGUUUGGCUAGAGUCCGGAAGAGGAGAGUGGAAUUCCUGGUGUAGCGGUGAAAUGCGCAGAUAUCAGGAAGAACACCCGUGGCUAAGGCGGCUCUCUAGUACGGUACUGACGCUGAGACGCGAAAGCGUGGGGAGCGAACAGG
rnacentral:rRNA from 1 species